GACGAACGCUGGCGGCGUGCUUAACACAUGCAAGUCGAACGGAAAGGCCCCUUUGGGGGUCCUCGAGUGGCGAACGGGUGAGUAACACGUGAGUAACCUGCCCUUGACUUCGGGAUAACUUCAGGAAACUGGGGCUAAUACCGGAUAGGAAUCCUUGCUGCAUGGUGGGGGUUGGAAAGCUUCGGCGGUUUUGGAUGGACUCGCGGCUUAUCAGCUUGUUGGUGGGGUAGUGGCUUACCAAGGCUUUGACGGGUAGCCGGCCUGAGAGGGCGACCGGCCACAUUGGGACUGAGAUACGGCCCAGACUCCUACGGGAGGCAGCAGUGGGGAAUAUUGCACAAGGGGCGGAAGCCUGAUGCAGCAACGCCGCGGGCGGGAUGACGGCCUUCGGGUUGGAAACCGCUUUCAGCAGGGGCGAAGCUUGUGGUGACGGUACCUGCAGAAGAAGCACCGGCUAACUACGUG
rnacentral:rRNA from 1 species